rnacentral:sRNA from 1 species
UGGACAGCACUAGAAGGUGAAGAUUUCUGUUUUUCCACAGCACGGGAGGCAAGGCACUGCAAGCCUCCCUGCUUUGCCAUGUCAGCUCCCUGCAGCCCUGUUUUAGCAGGAUCACGUAAGGAGCAGGAGGGUGUCCAUACCCCUUCACACCUUGGCAAAG